rnacentral:lncRNA from 1 species
AGACACAUCUGCGACAUAUGGAAGUUCCCAGGCUAGGGGUCAAAUCGGAGCUGUAGCUGCUGGCCUACACCACAGCUUGCAUAUGCAACCUACGCCACAGCUUGUGGCAACACCAGAUUUUAACACACUGAGCGAGACCAGGGAAUGAACCUGCACCCUCAUGGAUACUAUAUUAGGUUCUUAAUCCAGAAAGCCACAAUGGGAACUCCAUACAAAACAAGACUUUUUAACUCUAUGAUUUAAUCCUAUAUAUAUUACCUUCACUUUCUACUGAAAGUAUACAAAUACGAAAUGGUAGUUAAUUUUUAAUUUCCCUGCCUAGUCAUAUCAGUCUAUUUUCUGAAAAUGUAUUUAUUUAUACAUAGACCAUAAUAGGUCCUCAGUCAGAAACCUAGAAUAAUUAAGAUUAGCAUGACCAACUAUUAGGUGACACUUUUGUCUGGAAAUCUAUGGCAGAACAAAGCUUGUCUCAAACAUACUUUUUUUUUUUUUGCCAAAACAUUGCCAUGCAAAAAUUUAUCAAUAACCUCAAAUGUUAAAACCCAUGCCACACAAGUCUUUUAAACCUUAAAACAUGGCUUUGCCAACUCAUAGCCUUUGUUUUAGCAAAUAGCUUGAGUAUCUUUUCUUACAACAAAAUGAAAGUAUAAUGAGUUUCCCAGAAAGUCCUUUCAAGACUCCAUCUCUUCUUAAUUUUUAACUUACCUGCAGACUUCUGCAAAGCUCACAGACAUAUCCUACAUUUUGCAGAAAAGUACAUAUCCUACAUUUUGUAGAAAAUUAUAAAGACAGACUUAAAGAUUGCAAACCAAAUGUAAACAGAUGCAAAAAGAUUGCAUACACUUAUAGGAGCAAAUUCAUAUUGAAUUUUGUUGUAAAAAUACAGGCUUCUCUUUUCUUUCUAUAUCCAAGGAAAGUAAGGAAAUUAUUCAAUUCAAACAAUCAUUCUUUCUACUGAGUUAUACAGGUAGUAUCAUCAUCAAUCUGCCAUUUGCUAAGCAGUGAUCUUCAUUACCUGAUGUUAAAAAAUGUAGCCAGACUUUAAGAAAAACUCUGAUCUUCCAUGUAAACAUUAUUUCUUCUUGGAAGCAAGAGGAUAUUAGAGAAAAGUAGAGGCAAAUUCUAUUACACCUUCCCAUCCCUAGCCUCCUGACUCCUGUUCCUAAUUCUUAUAAGGUACUUGCACAGUGUUGUUAACCUACAGUGUUUUUACCUGGUUCCUCAUAUAAUCUGGUGGCAGAGAUAUCAGUAUCUAUCCUUUAAAGGUAUAGAAAUUAAGGUUCAGGUGAGGGACCAUGCAAGUCAGGUAAUAUUUGAAUCCAGGUCUUCUAACUUCAGAACCCAUGGCAUUCCCAUUUUUUAACAGUGCUCCAUGAUCCUUGUUGAUGAUACACAAUGUUCCUCAAACUUGAAUGUACAUUAGAAUCAUCUGGAGGACUGGCUAAAACACAGAAUGAUGGGCUCAUGGCCAGUUUCCUAUUGAGAAGGUCUGAGAUGGGGCCCAAGAGUAAUUAUAUCUAACAUGUUCCUAGAUGAUGCUGAUGCUGCUGGUCCAGGGACCACACUUUGAGAAGCACUGCAAUAUUCUAAUACAUAACCUCUAACUUUUAGCAAAAUGGUUAACAAGUCUCAUUCCCAUCCCACAAAACUGACUAGUAUCAUUUUCUCCAUCUCACUUAAUGAUAACCACAUUCCUCCACAGCUCAGACCAAAGUCUCUGAAGUCAUCUUAAAUCCCCUACAGCCUACAUGUGGUAAAUCCAAUUUUUCAAACUUCUUAACACCUCUGCUGGUACCAUACUGAUAGAGACACCAUCGACUCUUACCCAGAUCACUGAAACAGACUCACAUUUAACCUCCCUGCUUAUAACUUUCCCCCACCUACAGCCUGUUGUCAACACAGUGGCUAUAGCAGGAUAUAUUUAAAAUGUUAAGUUUAUAUCAUUCUUCUGCUCAAAAUCAUUUGGUUCAUUUCCUUAGAGCCAAAUCCCAAGUUCUGGAAGGCCCCAUGUGAUGUGGCCUUUAGAACUCUCCAAUGUCCCAUCUACACGAGGGCUUGGCUGGCCACACCCCACCACAAUCCCGACCCACAUCCCCUUGCUCCACUUUUAAUGUUUUCCUAGCAGGUAUUACUUUCUAUUAUAUAAUUCGCUUAUGUAUUGACAGGCACAAACACAUAUUUGUUGAAUGAAUGAAUGAAUAAUUAUUCCUUUCACCUAACAUUUCAUCAGACUGAUAAAUUCCAUGUGAACAAUCUGUUCUAGAAUCAGCCACUCAUCAAUACUCUCUCUAAAAUAACUUUUUGGCUCAGCUAGACAUGGAAAAUUAAAUCAAUAAUUUCUGACUUCUAUGUAAAUCAGAAGUUUUCUCUGACAGUGAUUAACUGGCUAAAAGGUAUUUAUAUGGUGGAAUGUGGUCUCAAAAUACUAUUAAUAACAAAUGUCAGUUUUGAGAAAUCUGUAAUCUAAAGUACCAGUAUAUGUCCAUUAAAACAGCAGCUCUAAUUCUUUUUGAGUAGAAGAAAAUAUGAACAAAUUACAGCUUAACUCAUAUUAUAUUCUUUUAGGUCAUAUUUAUCAUUUAUGUUUCAUUUCAAGGGAAAAACAAUGUUUACAAUAUUGUCACCAAAGACAGCUUUAUUAUAGACAGACCAAAUAUAAAUUUGGUUAUUAAUUAAAUUAUUAAAUAAUUUCUUUAAAAACUUUAUAUGGUGAUACCUUCCCAUUUAAAGUAAGUAUAUAUACUUACUAAGGCAUUUUUAAAAAUAAAACAGUGGCCUAUUUAUGGGUUUCCAGUUCCAAUCAGAUAUUGAGAACAUCUGGGGCCAUGGUCUGAACAACUAAUGAAACCGGCAGUGUAAUAUGAUGCUUUUUACUGGGAAUUGGAAUUGACUGGGAAUCAGAAAUGUAACAUGUUCCAGAGGCCCUGAGCCAGGGCUCCGGAUAUCACUGAGGUUGCAUCAGUAGCAUGCACUCAUAUGAGGCGUGAACAUAGAACAGAGGUGAAUAAGAACAGCAGAUGCCUCGUGUCCAUCCUGAGGUGCAGAGUGGUGUCUGAUUUUCUCUCUUGUAGGCAGCCCCUUGAUUACAGUAGGAGCAUCACUUACCUAGGUGGCUGGUUAAGUUCUGUGUUGAGGCUUUGAGAAUCUCUUCUAGAAAUUCAGCCAGUAGAUUUAGCAAGCCAUUUAAUAGCACAUGUUAACUUUGGAAAAGUGAAUUGUUUCCUGGCAGUUUGUCUCUGACCACAAUAGAAUCCCAGCUCAGGUACCCAGGCAUUAAAGCAUGAGCUAGAAGAAGUUUCUGAUCUCCAAAGGGGUGAACUAUACCAGAAUUAUACCAUACCUGGAAGGAUCUCCAUGCUCAUUUAGUUCAACCAUCUCAUUUUGCAGAGAAUGAAAGUGGGAACCACUACUUUCUCAAUUUGACAAAAGAGUUGCAGCUAGAGGUCAAGUGCCCUGACUACUUGUUCAAAAUCAUUCUUGCUAUAGUCACAUAAACUUGGGCCUAACAGCCUUCAUUAUACUGUUACUUCUGUGACUUUGUAAAAUGCAUAUAUUGGUAGAAGAAUUGGAAAAACAGGAAAGGAAAACCUGGAUGCUGCAAUCAGACAAUGCUGUUAUCUUCACAUGUCUCAAGAGAGUCAUUCUAGAAAUGAACGAUAUGGCUUUGUACUAUGGACAUCAGCAAUUCCUAAAACAGGCAGUAGUGAAUGGAAAGUAAGCUCCUUGGAGACCACUGCAUAAUAAGCUCCUGAGACUAAUUUUAAUCUAAUUCAAUAAAACACAUCAUACUCAGACACAAGAAGAUAAUAGAUAGAGGGCACUAAAAGUUUGUCUUAGGUUUGAAGCCUGCUGUCUUAAAGCUCAAGAUAAUAAAAAAAAAUUAAAAACAAGUUGUCUUUGAUUCAUCACUCAUUUCGGAAGUUAUUGGGAUAAUUAAAUUUUAAGCUAUUGUUUACUCCUGAAGUAUUACCUAUUGCCUGUGAGGGUUUGGCUUACUGUAAUAUGGCUAUGAUAUUACUUUUUAGAGGGAGAUGAUCUAGAUGACACAAGUAUAUCUUUUUCUCUUCUUGCUUAUUAAAGACAGAAAAGAUUAAGGUAUGCCAGAUGACCUGAGAAUCACAAAAAUCUCAGGACAUGUAAUCCGGUGGAAUAACAUACUUUAUAGUGUAUGUAUCAGGAGAUUAUACACUUUAACAGUAGUAGAGAAUAUAUAUAGCAUGAAAUUCUGUGCAGCCCUAUCAACAGUUGUAGACCUAUAUCUAUUGACAUGGAACUAUAUUAAUGAUAUAAUAAAUGAAAAAGCAGGGCAUAAAGCAGUAUAUAAAGCAUAAACCCAUUUUUUUUUUUUUUUGGUCCUUUGAGGGCUGCACCCACAGCAUGUGGAAGUUCCCAGGAUAGGGAUCAAAUUGGCCUAUACCACAGCCAUAGCAAUGCCAGAUUUGAGCCACAUCUGUGACCUACACCAGAACUCACAGCAAUGCCAGAUCCUUAACACAGAGUGAGGCCAGGGAUCGAACCUGAGUCCUUAUGGAUAUCAGUCAGAUUAGUUACUGCUGAGCCACAACGGGAACUCUCAUAAACCCAUUUUUGUAGCUAUACUCUCCUUAUAUUCAUAGCCAGAUCAGAAUGUAAUCCAACACAGAUGGUUGGACUACAGAUAUUUUUGGUCAAACCUUUUUCCAGUUAUUUUCAGACAAUAUAUAUUGCUUUUGUGAUAAGAAAAAAAACCAUAUUAGCUGGAGAUAGAGGAAGCAUCCUGAGGGCUUUGACUUCUGAGGUCAACACAGCUCCAUCAGAGGGAAGGGGCAGUCGGCAAGCAGCCCAUUGGCCAAGGUCCAGGCCUCAGUGCUGAGUGCCCCUUGCAGGCACCACGAGCACAGGCAUCAGGCGGAUGCCUUAGUACGCCUAGCAUGCCUGCUGUGUAACGUGCUCACAGAACUCUGCCCUAGGCAGUGAGCCACCUGCUCAAGGACGUCAGUUAAUGAAAGCUGUCUUCUGAAAACCAUAUCCUUUA